ACUCAAAUGAAUUGACGGGGACCCGCACAAUCGGUGGAGCGUGUGGUUCAAUUUGAGACAAAGCAAAAGACCUUACCAGGUCUUGACAUGCUACCGUUUUAACCGCCUGGAAACAGGUGGCUAUCCGCAAGGAUGGUAGCACAGCUGCUGCAUGGCUGUCGUCAGCUCGUGCCGUGGGGUGUUCCUUUAAGUAGGAGAACGAGCGCAACCCGUAUCCAAUGUUACAAGUGUCAUUGGAGACUGCCCUGGCUUAUGUCAGGGAGGAAGGAACGGACGACGUCAAGUCAGCACGGCGCUUAUGACCUGGGUCACACACACCCUACAAUGGCGAAUAACAAUGGGAAGCAAGCGGGCAACUGCAAGCAAAUCCCUGAAAUUUCGCCUCAGUUCAGAUUGAGGGCUGCAACUCGCCCUCAUGAAGUCGGAAUCGAUAGUAAUCGCAGAUCAGAAGGCUGCGGUGAAUACGUUCUCGGGUCUUGUACACACCGCCCGU
rnacentral:rRNA from 1 species